rnacentral:rRNA from 1 species
UACGUAGGUGGCAAGCGCUAUCCGGAAUUAUUGGGCGUAAAGCGCGCGCAGGCGGUUUCUUAAGUCUGAUGUGAAAGCCCACGGCUCAACCGUGGAGGGUCAUUGGAAACUGGGGAACUUGAGUGCAGAAGAGAAAAGCGGAAUUCCACGUGUAGCGGUGAAAUGCGUAGAGAUGUGGAGGAACACCAGUGGCGAAGGCGGCUUUUUGGUCUGUAACUGACGCUGAGGCGCGAAAGCGUGGGGAGCAAACAGG